rnacentral:tRNA from 1 species
UCCUUGGUGGUCUAAUGGUUAGGAUUCAGCACUUUCACUGCUGUGGCCCAGGUUCGAUCACUGGUCUCGGAA